UAGGGAAUCUUCCGCAAUGGACGCAAGUCUGACGGAGCAACGCCGCGUGAGUGAAGAAGGAUUUCGGUUCGUAAAACUCUGUUGUUAGAGAAGAACAGCGCAUAGAGUAACUGUUAUGCGUGUGACGGUAUCUAACCAGAAAGCCACGGCUAACUACGUGCCAGCAGCCGCGGUAAUACGUAGGUGGCAAGCGUUGUCCGGAUUUAUUGGGCGUAAAGCGAGCGCAGGCGGUCAAUUAAGUCUGAUGUGAAAGCCCCCGGCUCAACCGGGGAGGGUCAUUGGAAACUGGUCGACUUGAGUGCAGAAGAGGAGGGUGGAAUUCCAUGGGUAACGGUGACAUGCGUAGAUAUAUGGAAGAACGCCAGUGGCGAAGGCGACUCUCUGGUCUGUAACUGACGCUGAGGCUCGAAAGCGUGGGUAGCAAACAGG
rnacentral:rRNA from 1 species